rnacentral:rRNA from 1 species
GACGAACGCUGGCGGCGUGCUUAACACAUGCAAGUCGAACGGAAAGGCCCUGCUUGCAGGGUACUCGAGUGGCGAACGGGUGAGUAACACGUGGGUGAUCUGCCCUGCACUUCGGGAUAAGCCUGGGAAACUGGGUCUAAUACCGGAUAGGAGCCAUUCUGAGUGUGAUGGUUGGAAAGUUUUUUCGGUGUAGGAUGAGCUCGCGGCCUAUCAGCUUGUUGGUGGGGUAAUGGCCUACCAAGGCGGCGACGGGUAGCCGGCCUGAGAGGGUGGACGGCCACAUUGGGGCUGAGAUACGGCCCAGACUCCUACGGGAGGCAGCAGUGGGGAAUAUUGCACAAUGGGCGCCAGCCUGAUGCAGCGACGCCGCGUGGGGGAUGACGGCCUUCGGGUUGUAAACUCCUUUCGCUAGGGACGAAGCUUUUUGUGACGGUACCUAGAUAAGAAGCACCGGCUAACUACGUG